CGAGCUAGAGUAUGUCAGAGGGGGGUAGAAUUCCACGUGUAGCAGUGAAAUGCGUAGAUAUGUGGAGGAAUACCGAUGGCGAAGGCAGCCCCCUGGGAUAAUACUGACGCUCAGACACGAAAGCGUGGGGAGCAAACAGGAUUAGAUACCCUGGUAGUCCACGCCCUAAACGAUGUCAACUAGCUGUUGGGGCCGUUAGGCCUUAGUAGCGCAGCUAACGCGUGAAGUUGACCGCCUGGGGAGUACGGUCGCAAGAUUAAAACUCAAAGGAAUUGACGGGGACCCGCACAAGCGGUGGAUGAUGUGGAUUAAUUCGAUGCAACGCGAAAAACCUUACCUACCCUUGACAU
rnacentral:rRNA from 1 species